AAGGUCCGAUGAGUAGUCGCUGCUUCAUUGUAAUGAUGGAGGAGAGGAAAGUCCGGGCUUCACAGGGCAAGGAUGCCGGCUAACGGCCGGUGGAGGUAACUCCAAGGAUAGUGCAACAGAAAUGUACCGCUCAGCUAUGAGCGGAGUAUGGCUGUAAUAAUGCACAGAUUCAAGCUGGCUUGAGUAUCUGUGUAUUAUUGCAGCUGUACUGGGCGACAGCCCGUACCGAGAAAAGUGUAACUUUUCGAGGGACCGCUCAUAUGAGUAAGGGUGGAAAGGCGGUGUAAGAGACCACCGUGCCGCUGGUAACAGCGGUAGCCAUGUAAACCCCAUCCGAAGCAAGUUCUAAAAAGCGCGUACGCGGCCCGCCAGCGCUAGGUUGAACGCUUGAGGCUGUUGGCAACAGCAGUCCUAGAUAGAUGACUACUUUAAAUGACAUAACCCGGCUCACAGUCGGGCCUUUUAU
rnacentral:RNase_P_RNA from 1 species